rnacentral:rRNA from 1 species
AGCAGCCGCGGUAAUUCCAGCUCCAAUAGCGUAUAUUAAAGUUGUUGCAGUUAAAAAGCUCGUAGUUGAAUUUCGGGAUCAGUACGCCGGUCGUGCCUUCGGUAUGUACUGACGUUACUGAUUUCUACCUUCUGACGAACCGUCAUGCCAUUAAUUUGGUGUGGCGGGAAAUCAGGACUGUUACUUUGAAAAAUUAGAGUGUUUAAAGCAGGCUCGCGCUUGAAUACAUUAGCAUGGAAUAAUGAAAUAGGACGUUUGAUCUUAUUUUGUUGGUUUCUAGGAUCGACGUAAUGAUUAAUAGGGAUAGUUGGGGGCAUUAGUAUUCAAUUGUCAGAGGUGAAAUUCUUGGAUUUAUUGAAGACUAACUACUGCGAAAGCAUUUGCCAAGGAUGUUUUCAUUAAUCAAGAACGAAAGUUAGGGGAUCGAAGACGAUCAGAUACCGUCGUAGU